ACGAUAAUGACGGUACCAGAGGAGGAAGCCACGGCUAACUACGUGCCAGCAGCCGCGGUAAUACGUAGGUGGCGAGCGUUGUCCGGGAUUUACUGGGCGUAAAGGGUGCGUAGGCGGAUGUUUAAGUGGGAUGUGAAAUCCCCGGGCUUAACGUGGGGGCUGCAUUCCAAACUGGAUAUCUAGAGUGCAGGAGAGGAAAGCGGAAUUCCUAGUGUAGCGGUGAAAUGCGUAGAGAUUAGGAAGAACACCAGUGGCGAAGGCGGCUUUCUGGACUGUAACUGACGCUGAGGCACGAAAGCGUGGGUAGCAAACAGGAUUAGAUACCCUGGUAGUCCACGCCGUAAACGAUGGAUACUAGGUGUAGGGGGUAUCAACUCCCUCUGUGCCGCAGUUAACACAAUAAGUAUCCCGCCUGGGGAGUACGGUCGCAAGAUUAAAACUCAAAGGAAUUGACGGGGGCCCGCACAAGCAGCGGAGCAUGUGGUUUAAUUCGAAGCAACGCGAAGAACCUUACCUGGACUUGACAUCCCUUGCAUAGCCUAGAGAUAGGUGAAGCCCUUCGGGGCAAGGAGACAGGUGGUGCAUGGUUGUCGUCAGCUCGUGUCGUGAGAUGUUAGGUUAAGUCCUGCAACGAGCGCAACCCUUGUUAUUAGUUGCUACCAUUAAGUUGAGCACUCUAAUGAGACUGCCUGGGUAACCAGGAGGAAGGUGGGGAUGACGUCAAAUCAUCAUGCCCCUUAUGUCCAGGGCUACACACGUGCUACAAUGGUAGGUACAAUAAGACGCAAGACCGUGAGGUGGAGCAAAACUUAUAAAACCUAUCUCAGUUCGGAUUGUAGGCUGCAACUCGCCUACAUGAAGCUGGAGUUGCUAGUAAUCGCGAAUCAGAAUGUCGCGGUGAAUACGUUCCCGGGCCUUGUACACACCGCCCGUCACACCAUGAGAGCUGGUAACACCCGAAGUCCGUGAGGCAACCGUA
rnacentral:rRNA from 1 species